GAGGAUGAUGCCAAGUCAGCAUGACCUUUAUAUCCAGGGCUACACACACGCUACAAUGGUCUGUACAAUGGGUAGCCAAGCCGCGAGGCGGAGCCAAUCCUGAAAGCAGGCCUCAGUUCAGAUUGCAGUCUGCAACUCGACUGCAUGAAGCCGGAGUUGCUAGUAACCGCAGGUCAGCAAUACUGCGGUGAAUACGUUCCCGGGCCUU
rnacentral:rRNA from 1 species